UCGUAGGGCGCCCGCGCCCUUCGAGAUAGCACCCUUUGCCUUUUGAGUACCUCACGUUUCCUCGGCAGGCCCGCCUGCCAACGGGGACCAACCACCAAACUCUUGCAUGCAGAAGCAGUACUACGUCAGACGCAAACGCAAUCGUUUA
rnacentral:misc_RNA from 1 species